GCUUCAAUUUGCUAACAACGUUGUACCAGAACAGUUUGUCAAAAUACAUGCAGACUCUGAGGAAGAAACUUGGAAAAAGACAAACACCCAAAACCCAUUUCUCAACUUUAUCCAGCAACUCAAUCUUUUCUUCAACAAGGAUAGGGAGGACAUAUCUCUGACAGCUUUCAACAAGAGUUGUGUAGCUGUGCAGACUGACUCAUCCUAUACAGUCUCAUUUAGUGUUAAAUAUGUUGAACUGUGGUACGUAGCAUACCUAGCUGCAGGCAUUGUCAUCUUUCUGUCAGCAAAAAGCUGGAGCCAUAACAGAUACCUACACUACAGUACAGGUGUA